GCUGGGCGUGGUGGCUCACGCCUGUAAUCCCAGCACUUUGGGAGGCUAAGGCAGGAGGAUCACCUGAGGUCAGGAGUUUGAGACCAGCCUGGCCAACAUGGUGAAACCCUGUCUCUA
rnacentral:SRP_RNA from 1 species